GGCCCCAUCGUCUAGAGGCCUAGGACACCGGAUUCUCAUUCCGGGAACAGGGGUUCGACUCCCCUUGGGGCUG
rnacentral:tRNA from 1 species